GCGUAUGUGUAUGUAGGUGCGCGCGAUAAAUUUGUUGUCGGUUGUCACUGACGACGGCCGACUACGACUUGUGCUGCGUCCGUGACAUUCGUUUUAAUCGGAGUUUGCUUGGAUCAUCUGACACACGUAAAUCGCCCCAGGUCAAUCAAAUUUUCAAGCAGAAGGAUUGUAGCUGUUAUAACAAUCUGUAUUUUUAGAGGUACCAGACAUGUUCCCUGAUUAUGACAGUGUCCCAAUGAACCUUAAAGGAGAUGACUAACAACUACAGGAGGAACAAAUCCCUACAGUAGUAUACCGAAUGCUACAGGAGCCCACUGAAUUCUACACCCACUGUCUCCUAAGUAGUACACUGUCCUUUACAGA
rnacentral:lncRNA from 1 species